UACGUAGGUGGCUAGCGUUGUCCGGAUUUACUGGGCGUAAAGGGCGCGUAGGCGGCGUGUCAAGUCGAUUGUGAAAUCUCCGGGCUUAACUCGGAACGGCCAAUCGAUACUGACGUGCUAGAGUGCAGAAAGGGCAAUCGGAACUCUUGGUGUAGCGGUGAAAUGCGUAGAUAUCAAGAGGAACACCUGAGGCGAAGGCGGGUUGCUAGGCUGACACUGACGCUGAGUGCGCGAAAGCCAGGGGAGCAAACGGG
rnacentral:rRNA from 1 species